AUUGAACGCUGGCGGCAGGCCUAACACAUGCCAGUCGAGCGGAUGAAGGGGGCUUGCUCCUGGAUUCAGCGGCGGACGGGUGAGUAAUGCCUAGGAAUCUGCCUGGUAUUGGGGGAUAACGUCCGGAAACGGGCGCUAAUACCGCAUACGUCCUGAGGGAGAAAGUGGGGGAUCUUCGGACCUCACGCUAUCAGAUGAGCCUAGGUCGGAUUAGCUAGUUGGUGAGGUAAAGGCCUACCAAGGCGACGAUCCGUAACUGGUCUGAGAGGAUGAUCAGUCACACUGGAACUGAGACACGGUCCAGACUCCUACGGGAGGCAGCAGUGGGGAAUAUUGGACAAUGGGCGAAAGCCUGAUCCAGCCAUGCCGCGUGUGUGAAGAAGGUCUUCGGAUUGUAAAGCACUUUAAGUUGGGAGGAAGGGCAGUAAGUUAAUACCUUGCUGUUUUGACGUUACCAACAGAAUAAGCACCGGCUAACUUCGUG
rnacentral:rRNA from 1 species